rnacentral:rRNA from 1 species
GACGAACGCUGGCGGCGUGCUUAACACAUGCAAGUCGAGCGGGGGCUUCGGCCCCAGCGGCGAACGGGUGAGUAACACGUGGGCAACCUGCCCCGGGCACUGGGAUAACCCCGGGAAACCGGGGCUAAUACCGGAUAUGACCGCGACAGGCAUCUGUCACGGUGGAAAGGUUUAUUCUGGCUCGGGAUGGGCCCGCGGCCUAUCAGCUUGUUGGUGGGGUAGUGGCCUACCAAGGCGACGACGGGUAGCCGGCCUGAGAGGGCGACCGGCCACACUGGGACUGAGACACGGCCCAGACUCCUACGGGAGGCAGCAGUGGGGAAUAUUGCGCAAUGGGCGAAAGCCUGACGCAGCGACGCCGCGUGAGGGAUGAAGGCCUUCGGGUUGUAAACCUCUUUCAGCAGGGACGAAGCGAAAGUGACGGUACCUGCAGAAGAAGCACCGGCCAACUACGUGCCAGCAGCCGCGGUAAUACGUAGGGUGCAAGCGUUGUCCGGAAUUAUUGGGCGUAAAGAGCUCGUAGGCGGCCUGUCACGUCGGCUGUGAAAACCCGAGGCUCAACCUCGGGCCUGCAGUCGAUACGGGCAGGCUAGAGUCCGGUAGGGGAGACUGGAAUUCCUGGUGUAGCGGUGAAAUGCGCAGAUAUCAGGAGGAACACCGGUGGCGAAGGCGGGUCUCUGGGCCGGAACUGACGCUGAGGAGCGAAAGCGUGGGGAGCGAACAGGAUUAGAUACCCUGGUAGUCCACGCCGUAAACGUUGGGCGCUAGGUGUGGGGGGUUUUCUACACCCUCCGUGCCGCAGCUAACGCAUUAAGCGCCCCGCCUGGGGAGUACGGCCGCAAGGCUA